UACAACAUAGCGUUAAUGCACCAGAUACCAUUAGAACUCUACAGUUAACCGUGUUCAUACUAGAGUAGUAUUGGGAUGUGUGACCUCCUGGGAAGUCCUAGUGUUUUAC
rnacentral:rRNA from 1 species